UCAUGCCACCCUCAUAAAGAAAACAGAUCCAAAUGCCUUUGGGAGCAAAUGCUAUGCCCUGUAACAGAGCUCACUCAUUCAUGAGAUUGUUCAUUCAAAACACAUUCAAGUGCUGGUAGAUCAUCCCAUUUCAAAUAAUUACCAUUGUAGAACCUAAUAAAAGUUGUUGCUUCAGGAAUUCCCAUUGUGGCUUAGCGGUUAAUGAACCCGACUAGCAUCCAUGAGGUCUUGGGUUCGAUCCCUGGCCUCUGUUGGCCGGUUAAGGAUCUGGCGUUGCGGUGAGCUGCAUUAUAGGUCGCAGAUGCGGUUCAGAUCCCGAGUUGCUAUGGCUGUGGUGUAAGCCAGCAGCUGUAGGUUCCCUAGCUUGGGAACCUCCACAUGCCCCCCGGGUGCAGCCUUAAAAAGACAAAAAUAAAAAAAAUAGGAGUUCCCAUCAUGGCUCGGUGGUUAACGAAUCCAACUAGGAACCAUGAGGUUGCAGGUUCGAUCCCUGGCCUUGCUCAGUGGGUUGAGGAUCCGGUGUUGCCGUGAGCUGUGGCGUAGAUCACAGACACUGCUCAGAUCCCACGUUGUUGUGUCUCUGGCGUGGGCCAACGUCUACAGCUCCAAUUAGACCUCUAGCCUGGGAACCUCCGUAUGCCAUGGAUGUGGCCCUAAAAGGAAAAAAAGACCAAAAAAAAUUAAAAUUAAUCACCAUGAAUCUGCAGGGCAAAAACAAAGAAAGGUGGGAAAAAAGUAGUUCCCAACUAGUAUCCAUGAAGAUGCAGGUUCGAUCCCUGGCCUCAUUCAGUAGAUUAAGGAUCCGGCAUUGCCAAGAGCUGCGGUGGAGGUCCCAGAUAUGGCUCAGAUCCUGAGUUACUUUGGCUGUGGCGAGGGCUGGCAUCUGCCGCUCCAACUCAACCCUAGCCUGGGAACUUUCAUAUGCCGUGGUUUCAGCCAUUUUAAAAAAAGACAAUAAAAAUUAAAGGCUGCAGGGGUUCCACUGUGGUGCAGCAGGUUAAGGAUCCCAUAUUGUCACUGCAGUGUGGAUUUGUGGGAUAAGCAGGAGUGAAGUAUGGAUAUGUGCUGCAACAUGAACGAACCUUGAAAAUGCUAUCAUGUCUGUAAGAUACUAGUCACCAAAGUCCAAAUAUUGUACAAAUCCAUUUACAUAAAAUGUCCAGACAAAGGCAAGUCCAUAGAGACAGAUAGUAUGUCAGUAUGGUUACAUAGGAUUUGUGUUAAGGGUUGGAGAGAGAAUGAGGAGUGACCUCAUUGUGAUGUAGGGGGCUCUUUCAGGGGUGAGGAAAAUGUCCUAAAAUUGACUGUGGUGACAGACGGCCCCUCCCAGUGAAUACACUAAGGACAAUGUAAUUGUAUACUUUAAAUAAAUGGGUAAAUUGUAUGGUAUGUAGAUUAUAUCUCAAAGCUGAGGUUUUUUUUUUUUUCUUUUUUUCGGCUGCACCUGCAGCCUAUGGAAGUUCCUGACCCAGGACUGAAUCAGAGCCACGGCAUCAACCUACACUACAGCUGCAGCCAGAUCCUUAACUCAGUAUGCCACAGUGGGAACUCCUCCAAGCUGACUUUUAAAAAAGGUUGGAGUGUUGGAGAGAAUGUGUAGCCACUAGAAUUUCCAAACACUGCUGGUGGGUACAGCCACUUUGAAAAAUUUUGUCAGUUUCUUUAAAAGCUAAGAAUCCAGCUAGCACAUCAAUCAGCCAUUCCAUUCUUAUAUAUUUACCCAGAGAUGUGAAAUAUAUCCUUAGCUAUGUUAAGUAUCUGCCAUUGCUACAGCUGCGAUGUAGGUCGCAGAUGCAGCUUGGAUUCAAUCCUCAGGCCCCAGAAUUUCCAUAAGCAAAGGGUGCGGCCAUAAAACAAAAACAAAACUAUUUAGAACUAAAUGUACACAUUCAAAAAGACUAUAAGAUUGGUAGGUUGUGUCAAUGCCAGUAUCCCGGUUGCUAUAGGGUACUACAGUUUUACAAAAUGUUAACACUGGGGGAAACUGGGUAACGAAUACGCAAGAUCUCUGUGGUAUUUGUUACAAUGAGUGUGGACUUAUAAUCUUAAAUAUUUGAAUGAAAAAGAAUUCUUGGUACUUACAACAUAGAUAAAUCUCUAAGUAACUAUGCUGAGUGUAAGAAAUAAAAAUACAUCCUGUAUGAUUUCAUUUAUAUAAAAUUCUACAAAACGCAAAGUCUUCUAUAGUGACAGAAAGCACAUGAGUGGUUGUCUAGGGAGGGGAGAAGGUCUGGAGUGACAGGACGGGAGGAUUACAAAAAAGCAGGAAGAAAUUUUUAGAGGUGACGGAUGUGUUUAUUAUCUUGAUUGUGGUGGAUAGCUAUACACAUACUAAAAUAUAUCAUGCUGAACACUUGUUAAUAUGUGCAAAUUUUUGUCAAUUAUAGUUCAAUUAAACUGUUUUAAAACCCU
rnacentral:lncRNA from 1 species